UACGGAGGGUGCAAGCGUUAUCCGGAUUCACUGGGUUUAAAGGGUGCGUAGGCGGGUCAGUAAGUCCGUGGUGAAAUCUCUGAGCUUAACUCAGAAACUGCCGUGGAUACUAUUUGCCUUGAAUAUUGUGGAGGUGAGCGGAAUAUGUCAUGUAGCGGUGAAAUGCUUAGAUAUGACAUAGAACACCAAUUGCGAAGGCAGCUCACUACACAAUGAUUGACGCUGAGGCACGAAAGCGUGGGGAUCAAACAGG
rnacentral:rRNA from 1 species